AGCAGUGUGGUGUAGUGGUUUGAGCACUGGACUAAGGCUCAAGAAAGCAGGGUUUAAGUCCCUGCUUGGCCA